AGAGAUGUGUGAUGACGUAUAUCAAUAAGCGGAGGAAAAGAAACUAACAAGGAUUCCCUUAGUAACGGCGAGUGAAGCGGGAAGAGCUCAAAUUUGAAAUCUUCAAGGUUCUACCUUGACGAAUUGUAGUUUAAAGAAGUGUUUUCUGUUAGUGGAGUGGCAAAAGUUCUUUGGAAUAGGACAUCAUAGAGGGUGAGAAUCCCGUAUUUGGACCAUUAUUUCCUAGCUUUGUGAUACACUUUCAAAGAGUCGGAUUGUUUGGGAAUGCAGUCCAAGAUGGGUGGUAAAUUUCAUCUAAAGCUAAAUAUUGGCGAGAGACCGAUAGCGAACAAGUACCGUGAGGGAAAGAUGAAAAGAACUUUGAAAAGAGAGUUAAACAGUACGUGAAAUUGUCAAAAGGGAAGCGUUUAACACCAGUGUUGUUUUUCCGAAAAUCAAUUACGAAUGUUUUAUUUUUGAGAAGUUAUGACUUCAUCGGCUUGCUCUCUUCUUUACUGAAACUUUCUUAAUGCACUUUUCGGUUAACAAGUCAACAUCAAUUUCUUUUGUUGUAAAAGGGUAUGAGGAAGGUGGCUUUCUUUUCGGAGAAAGUGUUUAUAGCCUUGUACCUCUGCAAUCGGAGAGAUUGAGGUCUGCAGCGUAGAUCCUUCGGGGUUAGAUACAUUUGUGCUAAGUUAUAGCUUUUCAUAGACAACUUGUUGACUAUGUUAAGUCUUGUAGCUUACUCGCUUAUGCUAUUUUACCUACGCUUAGGAUGUUGACGAUCAGCUGAGCGCG
rnacentral:rRNA from 1 species